GUUUGAUCCUGGCUCAGGAUGAACGCUGGCGGCGUGCUUAACACAUGCAAGUCGAACGUGAAGAUGCAGCAAUGUAUCUGAAAGUGGCGGACGGGUGAGUAACACGUGGGUGACCUGCCUUGUAGUGGGGGAUAACCAUGGGAAACUGUGGCUAAUACCGCAUGGUCUUGAUAAGGGUGGACUUUAUCAGGUAAAGCUUUAGUGCUACGAGAGGGGCCUGCGGUCGAUUAGGUAGUUGGUGAGGUAAUGGCUCACCAAGCCGAUGAUCGAUAGCUGGUCUGAGAGGACGAUCAGCCACACGGGAACUGAGAGACGGUCCCGACUCCUACGGGGGCAGCAGUGAGGAAUAUUGGGCAAUGGGCGCAAGCCUGACCCAGCAACGCCGCGUGGAGGAUGAAGGUCUUUGGAUUGUAAACUCCUUUUGCAGGGGAAGAGAGCGGGACGGUACCCUGAGAAUAAGUCACGGCUAACUACGUGCCAGCAGCCGCGGUAAUACGUAGGUGACAAGU
rnacentral:rRNA from 1 species